CAGUUUACCAAACAUUGCAUACACUUGAUGAUCUAAAGCAGUUCUGUGUUUGUAGGUGAGCACUGCCCUACGGGUCCUCAGUCACUCCACGGCCACUGCCCUGCGCUUCCUGGUGGAGAAUCAUGGCUGGAGCACCAACUUCCUCACCACGGCUUGGUUCUUGGAACAGAGGCACGAGACCCAUGUCCCCUCCAUGGUCAUCGGUUGCAGCUUUUGGCACAGUCAACAAGCUGCAAAGAGCAGCAUGAACAAAAUGAACCGGAAGAGAUGUCCAGCCACCAGCAAACUGACGACUGUGCCACUUCACCAUGCUGUGCCACGACGCCAAAUUGUGUGCCAACGCCGAGC